CCGGGAGGGAUGCGGCAGCCCCGGCCCGCCGCCUCUGCAAGGGCUCCGGCUUUCCCCGGGGCCACGAGGGGCUGGCCCCGCUCCGGGCCGGCUUCUGCAGCCCGGGGAAGGCGUGCGAGGGAGCUCGGAGCUGCCCGGAGGCCGCGCAGCUCCUGGAAAACCGGGGAUUAAUCUCGCCUGGAAAAGCGGCGCUGGAGAGCUGCCACGGGCAGAGGCAGCGCCGGGCUGUCAGCGCUCCGCCGGUGACACCGAGUGCUCGGGGGCAGAUCCGGUGCUGCACGGCGGGGCCGAGCACGGGGACGGGUCCUGGCAGCGACAUUCCCGUCCUGGCACGCGACAUUCCCAUCCCGGCUCGCGACAUUCCCAUCCUGGCAGCGACAUUCCCGUCCUGGCAGCGACAUUCCCGUCCCGGCACGCGACAUUCCCGUCCUGGCAGCGACAUUCCCGUCCUGGCUCGCGACAUUCCCAUCCUGGCACGCGACAUUCCCAUCCUGGCUCGCGACAUUCCCAUCCUGGCUCGCGACAUUCCCGUCCUGGCUCGCGACAUUCCCGUCCUGGCAGCGACAUUCCCGUCCUGGCACGCGACAUUCCCGUCCUUGCUGAGCCACCUGAGCUCUGUUUGCGCCGUGACAUCCCCCGAGGGUCCUGGGCUCCCCCUCCUGCUUCAGGGGUCCCUCCCACGGGGCAGGUCCCCCCCGCGCCUGGCAGGAGGGUCCCACACCCACAGGAGGACCCGAGGUGCUGCGGGACCCCCAGUGCUGAUCCCCCCCUACCCCAGGGAUGUGCUCCCAUCCCUCGGUCCCGGCUGCGUCCCUCCUGUGCAUCCCUGUCACCCGGGGAGCAGGGCUCGGUGUCCUGCUGUCCCCUGGUGCCACCAGCCCCCCGUGGGCACCCCGUUGGCCUGAGGGGUUUCUGUCUCUGUCCUGUGCUCACAGUGGGGUCCGUGCGCCUCGGGGAGCCAGGAGGGACCAGCGCUGGCCUCAUUUUUGGGAACAGGCCCGUGCGUUUCCACAGGAGAAACAAAAAUCCUCCCCAGAGCUCCUGCCCUGCGCCGGAGGCUGCAGCGAGGGGAAAACGAGUGGGGAAAAAAACUCCCCCACCAUCAACCGGACACCGAUUUACCUUCCCUGGGAAGCUCCGCCAGGGAUUCCUGUCCAGCCCAGCCUCGCACAGUGUCACACCCUGUCCCCUGCGUGUGUCCAGCUCAGCUCUGUGGCCCCAGCCAGGCUCUUCCAGUGUCCCCGUGUCCCCAGCCAGGCUCUUCCAGUGUCACACUGUCCCCAGCCAGGCUUUUCCAGUGUCACACUGUGCCCUGUGUCUGUCCCCGUGCCCCCAGCCAGGCUUUUCCAGUGUCACACUGUCCCCAGCCAGGCUCUUCCAGUGUCACACUGUGCCCUGUGUGUGUCCCCGUGCCCCCAGCCAGGC
rnacentral:lncRNA from 1 species